rnacentral:rRNA from 1 species
AGAUUGAACGCUGGCGGCAUGCUUUACACAUGCAAGUCGAACGGUAACAGGCCGCAAGGUGCUGACGAGUGGCGAACGGGUGAGUAAUGCAUCGGAACGUGCCCAGUCGUGGGGGAUAACGCAGCGAAAGCUGUGCUAAUACCGCAUACGAUCUAUGGAUGAAAGCGGGGGACCAAAGGCCUCGCGCGAUUGGAGCGGCCGAUGUCAGAUUAGCUAGUUGGUGGGGUAAAGGCCCACCAAGGCGACGAUCUGUAGCUGGUCUGAGAGGACGACCAGCC